rnacentral:rRNA from 1 species
AUUGCCUCAGUAACGGCGAGUGAAGCGGCAACAGCUCAAAUUUGAAAUCUGGCCCCAGGCCCGAGUUGUAAUUUGCAGAGGAUGCUUUUGGUGAGGUGCCUUCCGAGUUCCCUGGAACGGGACGCCAUAGAGGGUGAGAGCCCCGUCUGGUCGGACACCGAGCCUCUGUAAAGCUCCUUCGACGAGUCGAGUAGUUUGGGAAUGCUGCUCUAAAUGGGAGGUAUAUGUCUUCUAAAGCUAAAUACCGGCCAGAGACCGAUAGCGCACAAGUAGAGUGAUCGAAAGAUGAAAAGCACUUUGAAAAGAGAGUUAAAUAGCACGUGAAAUUGUUGAAAGGGAAGCGUUUAUGACCAGACUUGGCCCGGUUGAUCAUCCAGCGUUCUCGCUGGUGCACUCUGCCGGUCCAGGCCAGCAUCAGUUCGUCGCGGGGGACAAAGGCUUCGGGAAUGUGGCUCCUCCGGGAGUGUUAUAGCCCGUUGCGUAAUACCCUGCGGUGGACUGAGGUCCGCGCUUCUGCAAGGAUGCUGGCGUAAUGGUCAUCAACGACCCGUCUUGAAACACGGACCAAGGAGUCGUCUUCGUAUGCGAGUGUUCGGGUGUAAAACCCCUACGCGUAAUGAAAGUGAACGCAGGUGAGAGCUUCGGCGCAUCAUCGACCGAUCCUGAUGUUCUCGGAUGGAUUUGAGUAAGAGCAUACGGGGCCGGACCCGAAAGAAGGUGAACUAUGCCUGUAUAGGGUGAAGCCAGAGGAAACUCUGGUGGAGGCUCGCAGCGGCUCUGACGUGCAAAUCGAUCGUCAAAUAUGGGCAUGGGGGCGAAAGACUAAU